AUUAAAAAAAAAAGAAAUGUUACAACUGGCACAUUAGAGAGCCUUGGGUCAGGGUGCUAACCAGAUGGCCAUUAAGUCACCUACCCUCCCCCAGAAUCUCAAGACAACCUUAGGAAAGCACGGUUGAGAUGAACAGAGUUGUAAUCUUUCGAGAUGCGUUAACAAACGCAUUUGUUAACAAACAAAUAGGUGUUUAGAAAGAAGCGUGUCGGUAAGAGUCCACUCUUGGGUGUAAAAAGGUCCGAGUGGAGCCCUUCCUCUCUCUCUUCGCAGCCUGAGUAAACCCUCCUUCACAGCCAUCCCCCUUCCUUUGGCCGGAUUCCACGCUCACCAAGCAACCUCCUGGUUAUAAAUUCCAUUCCGGGAAAUGGGUGUCUCGGAAGGCAGAGGUGAUUCUAACGCACAACGAUGUUUGAGACCACUGCUCUAGAAAAAGCUCUGCUACCCCUGAAGUACUCCGACCUGAAUUCAUUUCCUGACACUUGUUCAUUUGACAGCAAUGAUACCUGCUGUCCACGGCGAAGCCUUGGAGAAGCCUCUUGAUGAUCCACAUGCUAGAUUCUUUCCUCCAUAAACUGAUGAACUAAAUGAUCCUUGAAAUGUUUGGUUCUGUCCGUGGCACGUUUGGAAUAAUAAUUCACCUUUUAGGUCAAUUACACACACAGGUAUGCUAAUGCUUGGGGUGCCCUUAGAGUAGACACUGAUUAUUUCAGUUGUACUCUUCAAAUGGAAGACUAAUUAAAUCUCUACAUUUGGAUUUGGCUUCCCAGUUAGCAAUGUUUCAUUCCUGGAAAAUAAAUAGUCAGUGUGUGUCA
rnacentral:lncRNA from 1 species